rnacentral:rRNA from 1 species
GAACGCUGGCGGCGUGCUUAACACAUGCAAGUCGAACGAUGAUGCCCACUUGUGGGUGGAUUAGUGGCGAACGGGUGAGUAACACGUGAGUAACCUGCCCUUGACUCUGGGAUAAGCCUGGGAAACUGGGUCUAAUACCGGAUAUGACCUUCCAUCGCAUGGUGGUUGGUGGAAAGCUUUUGUGGUUUUGGAUGGACUCGCGGCCUAUCAGCUUGUUGGUGGGGUAAUGGCCUACCAAGGCGACGACGGGUAGCCGGCCUGAGAGGGUGACCGGCCACACUGGGACUGAGACACGGCCCAGACUCCUACGGGAGGCAGCAGUGGGGAAUAUUGCACAAUGGGCGCAAGCCUGAUGCAGCGACGCCGCGUGAGGGAUGACGGCCUUCGGGUUGUAAACCUCUUUCAGUAGGGAAGAAGCGAAAGUGACGGUACCUGCAGAAGAAGCGCCGGCUAACUACGUGCCAGCAGCCGCGGUAAUACGUAGGGCGCAAGCGUUAUCCGGAAUUAUUGGGCGUAAAGAGCUCGUAGGCGGUUUGUCGCGUCUGCCGUGAAAGUCCGGGGCUCAACUCCGGAUCUGCGG